rnacentral:rRNA from 1 species
UACGAGGGAUGCAAGCGUUAUCCGGAAUUAUUGGGCGUAAAGCGUUUGUAGGCGGGCGAGUGUGUUUAAUGUUAAAUCUUAAAGCUCAACUUUGAAAUUGCGUUAAAAACUGCUUGUCUUGAGUAUGGUAGGGGUAAAGGGAAUUCCCAGUGUAGCGGUGAAAUGCGUAGAUAUUGGGAAGAACACUAAACAGCGAAGGCACUUUACUAGGCUAAUACUGACGCUGAGAAACGAAAGGUAAGGUAGCGAAACGGAUUAGAUACCCGUGUAGUCUUACCCGUAAACUAUGGACACUAAACGGUAAAUUUUUAAUUUACUGUUAAAGCUAACGCGUUAAGUGUCCCGCCUGGGGAGUAUGCUUGCAAAAGUGAAACUCAAAGGAAUUGACGGGGGCCCGCACAAGCGGUGGAGCAUGUGGUUUAAUUCGACGGUACACGAAGAACCUUACCAGGAUUUGACAUGCUAGAUAGUUGCUUGAAAGAGUAACGUGCCGUAAGGAAUCUAGACACAGGUGGUGCAUGGCUGUCGUCAGUUCGUGUUGUGAAAUGUUGGGUUAAGUCCCGCAACGAACGCAACCCUUGUCUUUAGUUAUUUUCUAAAGAGACUGCCUGUAAUAAACAGGAGGAAGGUAAGGAUGAGGUCAAGUCAUCAUGCCCCUUAUGUCCUGGGCUACACACGUGCUACAAUGGGAAAGACAAUGAGCUGCAAAUCUGUAAAUUUAAGCAAAUCUCUUAAACUUUCUCGUAGUUCAGAUUGUGGGCUGCAACUCGCCCACAUGAAGUUGGAAUCGCUAGUAAUCGCCAGUCAGCUAUAUGGCGGUGAAUCCGUUCCCGGGCCU